GUGAGGAAUAUUGGACAAUGGGCGAGAGCCUGAUCCAGCCAUGCCGCGUGCAGGAAGACGGCCCUAUGGGUUGUAAACUGCUUUUAUACAGGAAGAAACACUCCCUCGUGAGGGAGCUUGACGGUACUGUAGGAAUAAGGAUCGGCUAACUCCGUGCCAGCAGCCGCGGUAAUACGGAGGAUCCAAGCGUUAUCCGGAAUCAUUGGGUUUAAAGGGUCCGUAGGCGGGACAAUAAGUCAGCGGUGAAAGUCUGUGGCUCAACCAUAGAAUUGCCAUUGAUACUGUUGUUCUUGAGUGUUUAUGAAGUGGUUAGAAUAUGUAGUGUAGCGGUGAAAUGCUUAGAUAUUACAUGGAAUACCGAUUGCGAAGGCAGAUCACUAAUAAAAUACUGACGCUGAUGGACGAAAGCGUAGGUAGCGAACAGGAUUAGAAACCCGAGUAGUCC
rnacentral:rRNA from 1 species